GGAGGCAGGGGCGGAGGCAGAGGCGCACCCGAGUGCAGCGCACCUCGGCGGCCGCGGCGGCCCGGGUCAGUCCUCCCCUGGACCCGUGCUCUCCUCCGGCCUCGGUGGCUGUUCUCUCCUCUUUCCCCGCACUUUGAGUCUCUAACUUGGUGGGACAGGACGCACGUCCUUCUUUUCCGGGUUAGCAGGGGCUCUCCCCGGAGAUCCCGUCACCUCCAGACCGGGCAGGAUCCGAGGCCAGCGCGGUCGCAGUCGCCCCUGCGCCGUCCAGCGUUCACCCGGGACCACGGCCACUGCCCGCGACCAGAGAUGCCCGCGCCCACUGCGCUCCACGGGGCUGGCGCGCUCUGGCUGCUCCCCCGCCCUCUUGGCUUUUUAUAGUUUUCCACAGUGGGUUUUCCUCCGCCCCCAAUCCAAGAGUGACAAAGAGUGAAAACGCUGCGCUACCCCCUGCUCUCGCCCGCCUUCUCCUGUCGCUUCCCCUCCCCACCCUCCCGACCUCCUCCACCCCACAACUGGAGCAAACGUGGGCUUCCCAAUGCCUGCCGCAGCUCCAGGGAGCAGAUGGGCUUUGGAAACAGGCGGAGGGCACAGUUGGGCAUGAUGACCUGACCCCUCUCUGCAGCCCUACCGGCCACUCCGGCCACCCCCGACCGGGGGAAAUAGAAGCCAGGCACCUGUGCGAGCCCCGGUGCGACUGUGGCCUUCACCUCCCAGCCGUGGGCGGCUGGGCCCAUAGGUGUCCGAGGUGCCCAGCGGACCCCGAGGGAGAUGGGGGAGCAGCGCGGGGGGGAAAGAUGGGCACAUUCUCGCUCCCCGGAGCACCGGGUCUUUGUAGUCUCCUCUUCUGCGUCCCCAGCUCUGCCACGCGCGAAGUGUACGCCUGUGUCUGCCAGACUGGGAAGGAGGAACCGGCUGCCCCGCCCUGGGUACCUCGGAGGUUUGGAGCGCACUGCUCCUCUGGACUCCUCUCCGCGCCAGACAGCUGCCCUCUGCAGGAGGAAACCCCGGGCAGGCCUGAGUGGGUUAGGAGGCACAGGAAAUCCAGGCACCGACCCACCACCCGGCGUUACACAGUGACAGCUUGCGGCGAGGAGCUGGCUCCAGCCCUGGAGCCUUUUCCCAUCCCGGUCACAGCCGCAUGCCCAGGAGCGCGAAAGGACAAGAAACCAUGGAAUCCUUUCAGUGCAUGGAAAAAGCUAUAA
rnacentral:lncRNA from 1 species